AAACGGGUUGUAGCUGGCCUUCCGGGGCAUGUGCACACCCUGCUCAUCCACUCUACACCUGUGCACUCACUGUAGGUUGGCGUGGGCUUCCUUCGCGGGAAGCAUUCUGCCGGCCUAUGUACACUACAAACACUAUAAAGUAACAGAAUGUACUCGCGUCUAACGCAUCAUAAUACAACUUUCAGCAACGGAUCUCUUGGCUCUCGCAUCGAUGAAGAACGCAGCGAAAUGCGAUAAGUAAUGUGAAUUGCAGAAUUCAGUGAAUCAUCGAAUCUUUGAACGCACCUUGCGCUCCUUGGUAUUCCGAGGAGCAUGCCUGUUUGAGUGUCAUGGAAUUCUCAACCCAUACAUCCUUGUGGUUUAUGGGCUUGGAUUUGGAGGCUUUUGCCGGCUUUAAUGGUCGGCUCCUCUAGAAUGCAUUAGCUUGAUUCCGUGCGGAUCAGCUCUCAGUGUGAUAAUUGUCUACGCUGUGAGCCGUGAAGCGUUUGGCGAGCUUCUAACCGUCCCCUUGGGACAAUUUAUUGACAUCUGACCUCAAAUCAGGUAGGACUACCCGCUGAACUUAAGCAUAUCAAUAAGCGGAGGAAAAGAAACUAACAAGGAUUCCCCUAGUAACUGCGAGUGAAGCGGGAAAAGCUCAAAUUUAAAAUCUGGCGGUCUUUGGCCGUCCGAGUUGUAGUCUGGAGAAGUGCUUUCCGCGCUGGACCGUGUACAAGUCUCUUGGAACAGAGCGUCAUAGAGGGUGAGAAUCCCGUCUUUGACACGGACUACCAGUGCUUUGUGAUGCGCUCUCAAAGAGUCGAGUUGUUUGGGAAUGCAGCUCAAAA
rnacentral:rRNA from 1 species